rnacentral:lncRNA from 1 species
GCCUGUGGACCUCUCAGGCAGGCUGCUGGGCUCUUCCGGAGGAACGUGUGCUUCUGCCUGUCCCUCAGGUCUGACUGCACUGAGCCUUACUCCUUCUCCAGCCAGAGGGUGGAUAGCUGCAGUUAUUCCAGGCAGAUGGCCUCCCUUCCACGAGCAGACAGAGGCAGGGCACCGAAAAGUCUGAAGAUUGUGAAAAGACAGUACCAGGGAAAGUGUCAGCAUUUUGAGUGCCAUCCGCGGCAAAGGUCAAGCUACACGAAAUGAGCUUAAAGUUAGCUUCCCAGUGAGAAGGCAGUGACUCAGCGGCUUCUGAGACCAGCACAGGCACUUCUCAAGCCAGCAAAGCUCUAUUUUACUCAUCAGGCUAAACUUAGAAGUCAGUGUCAUGGUAUCCAAUGUAAUACUGAAGAAAUGGAGAAAUACACAACUCUAAGAGUUGACAGAGCAUGGCUUCCUGUCCAGGGCUGUUUGCUGAGCUUCAGUCGGCACAUACAAUGGUUGAUAUCAUGAGCAGAUGAAGUAACCAGCAAUAAGAGCAUUUAAACGACCAUGGUAUAACACAGGAUGAAGUGUACAGUUGGGCAUGGUAAACUAACCCCACAAACACAGCAAAAGGGGGGAACGGAAAGGAAAGGUAUAUCCAUUGUGUGGUUUGGGCCUGAACUGGUCCUGUGACAUCCAGAACUGAGUCCUCUUUGUGUCCAAAGGGAAAUGAGCCGGCGUGCUGGGCUUGAAACAUCAUGCAAGCGACUGUUGAAGGCUGUGACAAUGUUUAGUCUAGAGAAAAGAAGACUUGGGUGGAACAGAAGAGUAGUUCAAAUAUUUGAAGAGCGGGCAUGUGAAAGAGAAGUAGGCAGCACCCAGAGGAGGGAGCAGGGACCAAUGUGAAAUGAAGAAGGGAGAUUUUAGCUCCCUAAAUUUUCUAACCAUUAGACCUCUCUGAAAUGGAAGGAGCUGCCUGGAGAACACAGCAUUUGUAUUGGUGUGUGUGUUUUAGCAGAAGCAGGGUGCACUUUGUGAUGACUGCUAAGGCCCCAUUCAACCCCAACUGAAGGCAGGAUUGGGAAUUCUGCCUGUGCCUUCCUGGAAGCCAAGCAUCAGACACAGGCCUUUGGGUAUAUAAAUAGAAUCUUUACAAACCUGGGUUUUAUUGUUACUCCCACAUUACAGAUGAGGCAACUCAGAGAGGCUAAAUAAUCUGCCCAAAGUUGCCCAACUAUUAUGUGCCUCUAUUCCAACAUCGCAUACUCUCCAUCAUGCUAAAUGAGGCAUUAAUCUCUAUGCCCUUAAGGAAGAAAAGGUAUUAUUUUAAAAUGUUAUCAAAAUCCUAAAUUCCUAGAGCCAUAAAUAAAAUUCUUUCAAAUAUAAAACCUAAUGAUUCCUCCCCAAGCCUCUGACGGCAUGCCAAUGGGCCUCUCUGCUGAAAGUCCAUUGGUUUCACCAUUAACAAAAGGAAAUAGAAUUAAUGGGCUCUUUCCAAAACUUCUACUAGGAAUCCCAGGAAUUAAACUUGUGCUAUUUGUACCAUAAAGUCAACGCGAUACUAUUUCCUAAACUAGUGGUUUAUAUCUUUUUGGUGUGGCCAUACUUGUUUUAUUUAUUUAUUUUUUUUUUUAAGAGUUUUCUUUUUUUUUUUUUUUAAAGAUUUUAUUUUUUCCUUUUUUCUCCCCAAAGCCCCCCG